GAGGUGUGACAUUGGAUAGCAUUGUCACAGACCGCCACCCUCAAAUCCAGAAAUUCCUGAGGGAGGCCAACAUCACACACUACUACGAUGUUUGGCACAUGGAAAAAGGACUGUCGAAGAAACUUGUCAAGAUUGCCCAGAACAAAGAAUGUGAGAAACUGAAGAAGUGGCUCCCCAGCAUAAAAAACCACAUCUACUGGACAGCCACUACAUCAACAUCAGGGCCAGAGAGAGUGGCAAAGUGGACCUCCCUCCUUAACCAUGUCCAAGACAUCCACUCCCAUGGUGACCCUGUUUUCCCCCAGUGUUUGCACCCGCUACGCAUUUCAAGGGACAAGAGCAAAUGGUUGACAGCAGGUAUGUUCACCCAAUUUGCAUUGUAAAUGUAAGGCUUGUGUUUAUAUACAUGUACAAUAUAUAUGUGUAUAUAUAUAUAUACAAACCUAAUAACCAAUGCCAUAAUCACUUUGAAUCUAUAGUUAUGUUUUUCCCCUUUUUUUUACAGGGACACCAGCCUUCAGCAGAUUAGAGAAGGUGUUGACCAACAAGAGGGUUCUGAAAGAUGUGGGGAAGCUGAGCCCUCACUACCAGACCUCGUCGUUGGAGUCUUUCCACAGCGUCAUUCUGCGUUUUGCGCCUAAAACGUAGUCUUUCCUUUUCUUGGAAUGUUAUGCAGACUCUACCUGGCAGUCCUGCAUUUCAAUGAAAAUGCUGGGCGUCCCCAAGCAACAAGUUCAGCUGGUGAGCCGCUAUUUAAAGUGAACUUCCCAAAAUACAAGAAGGGCGAGUGCACUGCAAAGCCGGUGAAAGCAGAGCUAACCUUCCGUGAGUCACAGCUUUAUUU